AUGACUGAUUGAUUAGAUGUUUUUCGUUACUGUUAAACAUGUUAUGCUUGCCAAUAUCUGUGGUUCCUCUGCGUUUUGGGAAUAUUUACUACCUUGUGAGUUGGUUUCUAUUUCUUUGCUCUCUUUCUUAGUGUAGCCAGCAUGUUCUGUACUAUGUUACAGAGUCUUUCGUUAUCGUCAGAAAGAAAACCGUUGCUACAUUUCCCAAGAAUCAUAUUAUCUCUUUCAACCGAUGCCUUCGCCUUGUUGGAUAUAUACUUUUGCAAGCUCAGUCACAGGUCGGUGAAAGUUAUGCAUAUGCUAGGCAUGGGUUUAUAGGGUAUCAGUUAUAACAGGUAAUCUUAGUACAUCAAAGGUUCAGUAGUAACUUAGAAUGUUUAAGGUUGCAGGAGAUGCGUGUGAAAUUGGACCCACCCUGCAGUAUGUAAGAGGCUGUCCUCUACGAUCGUGGAGCAAACUGGGUGGGAGAUAUUAUUUUUUUAAAUAGCUAUAAUUGAAGCUUGAAUGAAAGCUGUUUCUGCAGCAAUUCCUGCAGGAAACUCUGUUGAUUAGACUGAGAAAACAGAGCCAAAGCUUAGAUGGCAAGGAGGUGUAAAGUCCCGAUCUGAAAAUUCAGUUGACAUGACUCUCUCACGGUAACAAUCUCUUUUUCUAAGAUUUAACCACCAUAUUGCUUCUUUGAUUGGGUUCUUGAUGCUAUCCAAAUAAACCCGAUACCAGAACCAACCGGGUUAUGAGUUUGGAGUGAGAGUAUGAAUGUGUUAUGAAUUAUGGGAUUGGUAUGUGUUGUUUACCUUGGAUUGGUUCCUGUCAUCAUUUAUGAGAGGGUGUGUAAUGAAUUAUGGGAUUGGUAUGUGUUGUUUUCUUUGGUGUUAUGUAUGCUGCAAAAGUAGAGGCACACAAAGUAGGAUGGUACAUCAAGAACAAUGCCCACCAUUGGAAAACUUUGAUUAAUGAGUUCACAUGGUUCUCUCCUGUAGAUAAAACAAGGACAUACCUUGUUUCAACCUUAAUGAUCACUCUUAGUUUUUUUGUGGCUACCAAACAAAACCUCUUUUAAUAUUUCAGUGUCUCCUCAUCAGACCCUACCACCAUUUUGAGCACGCGGCGUAGUAGUUUUUUGACCAACAAAAAGGGAACUGGAACAGCCCCAGUUUUAUGAUUAGCAAAAGAGAGUGUGAUUAGCAAACUGAUAAAUCAAACACUGUAAAAGAUAAAGGAGUGAUAUUUGAGUUGAGAGGUGGUGAUGGAACAUUGUAGCAGUGAAUCUCCUUUUACAUCUGAGAGUGGCAGAGGGUUGAAAGGGGUCUGGUCUGGUCAUCUCUUUGUUACCAUAUUUGAGGUGAAUUAUUGUUGUACUAGAGUUUCUUAUUUCUGCCCUAAAUUUUGCAAGUCAA